rnacentral:lncRNA from 1 species
UAUUGCACUCAGAUAAACUGCAAUUCUAAAGAAUAAUCAGAUGCUUGCAAGAAUAUUUCAGCUGACAUCCCUCUGUGUUGUUAUUUUAUUUUACUAUUUUUAAAUAUUCUGUUAGGUUUCAGCUCCUACAGACUAUUUAGAAGCAUCCUCCAGACUAGCCUUUUGUCCAUAUUUAAAAAAAGAUAGUUUGCAUGGGUUGCAUGAGGUCAUGGGAUCACUGCUUUUGGGAUGAAGACUCAGUGAAGACUUAAGUGAGGCAGAGAACCUGACUAACUCACAAAGGUAUCCAAAUUGUUAUGAUCUAACUCAUAACUGUCCUAACAAGGAGUUAAGUCCAACAAAGAGGUGGGAAUUUCCAGGCCUGAGUUCUGCACCAGACUUCUUAGAAUCAACAUAAAUGCGUGUUUUUUCCCAAAAUACAAACACCCUUCUGACCUCUCUGAUCUUCUGACAUAAACUAAGAAACUUUUCAUGGUAAUCAGUCAAGUAUCAGUACUAAAAAGCUAUUGCUGUGCAUGAUAGGCUCUUAUGCGCAUAAGAAAACAAAACAAGCUGCCUACCACUUUCCGGGAUUAAUGCUAUGAAGGAUUUUAUGGGUGGUCCAUAAGUGGACAGAAUGUUGCACUAAUGUGUGACUGCAUGGCAAUCAAGCUUAAUUAGGGAAGGUUUUGAAAAAGACAAUUAUGGGAAUGAAAGCAACUGCGCUUUUGGGGACCACACUCUGCCACACUGGUUCAGCAAAGUGUUGUUAAAAAUGUCCCCGUUCUGUCAGGUUCUGACGCACAUCCAGCACUUUGUCAAACUGAGCAUUUUUCUUGAGAAGGGGGGAAUCUCUUAGGAGCACAUUCUUCACCCAGUCUCUGCUGAACUCACUGGUUUCAUGAGGAGACAGCUGCACUUCCAGAGUAAGAGCAGCAGCAGAUGACCCUGAAUCCAUGGCCAUCCGGUUUUGUUCAGCAUUGCUUCUUUUCUGCAGGAGUAACAAAGUUACGAAGCUUAUUCGUAUGUGAAAGGUGUGACAAGGACGCUUUUCUCCACUGAAGGAUAUUGAAGUAAGUGUUGAUAGAAACAUCACACAUAAAAGAGUGUUAAAAUGAAAACAGAGACAAGAGGAUACUAAAUAGAGAAAAGAAGCAGGAUCUGGGAUUUGAUGGCUGACCAUGAACAGCUGUGCACAGGUAAUCCAGAUACAUGUCUUAAUACGUAAACUCUCCAGAUUAGGUGUAUAUUUACCUGAACUACUCAGAUAAAAGUUUGCAAAUUAGGUAUAGGUCCAAAAAUCACAAUCUUCUUCAGGUCAAAUGUUGUGG